rnacentral:sRNA from 1 species
CCAGGGCGACCCCACCGCCUGCCCGUUGCCGGGGCACGGCAACAACCCGAUCGUCGACGGGUCGCCCGAUGU